UGAAGAUUGUUUCUCCCAUGACCU
rnacentral:piRNA from 1 species